rnacentral:rRNA from 1 species
AACGAACGCUGGCGGCAGGCUUAACACAUGCAAGUCGAACGGGUGUAGCAAUACAUCAGUGGCAGACGGGUGAGUAACACGUGGGAACCUUCCUAGGGGUACGGAACAACUCAGGGAAACUUGAGCUAAUACCGUAUACGUCCGUGAGGAGAAAGAUUUAUCGCCCUUAGACGGGCCCGCGUCGGAUUAGCUAGUUGGUGGGGUAACGGCUUACCAAGGCGACGAUCCGCAGCUGAUCUUAGAGGAUGAUCAGCCACACUGGGACUGAGACACGGCCCAGACUCCUACGGGAGGCAGCAGUGGGGAAUCUUGGACAAUGGGCGCAAGCUUGAUCCAGCCAUGCCGCGUGAGUGAAGAAGGUCUUCGGAUUGUAAAGCUCUUUUGCCAGGGACGAUAAUGACGGUACCUGGAGAAUAAGCCCCGGCAAACUUCGUGCCAGCCGCCGCAGUAA